rnacentral:lncRNA from 1 species
ACUUAGACAUGAGACUGGGGUUAGAGCAGCCAUCUUGUGAUCAUGCUAUAGACACAAAUAUAACAGUUAUAUGCUAAAGAAGUCCGAGAAUGAGAAGAAGAUGAAAAGGAGCCUGGGUUAUUAAUGGCAUUGUGGAGCCACCUAAUCAGCUUUGGAUUACCCACCAUAGGAUUUCUAAUGAGAGAAAAAUACUUUUUACGUUUUAAACCAUUAUUUUCAAGGAUUUUAUUACUAAUGAAAUGUUAUCCUAAGGGACACAUUAGCAUUUUGUAAAAUAAAGAAUGUUUUAAUGCUCAAAAGUUCCUUGCCUCCUUUCUCCGUUCAAGAUCUCUUCCUAUCUCUACAUUUUCCCAGCUCCAGCAUCCUAUCAGGACAUUUUUAGUCAUGUUCCACCUUGGUUUAUGUAUUCUAUCUCCAAGAUGAGUCUUCUCCUACUUCAAGAUAUUUCUCUCAGCUGGAGAAUCCCCCUCAGGACUUUUCUAAAUAGGUGUUCCUGUUGAUGCUUCCAAACCUGUAUUCUCAUGGGCUAAGGAAUGAUGAAUAGGUCUCUGCCAUUUGUUCCUAGAAACUUUGCUUUUCCUUUGCUUGAGAAUUGUCUAGGUUUUGUGUAACUUGUGAAACAGAAUGGAAGAAAGCCUCCUUUUUACUACUUCUUUUCUAGAAACAUUAGAAUAUGCCUUGAGAGUUCGAUGCUGCUCUCUUAUUUCACUGUUCCUUUGGAGCAGUCCCAGCUGAAUUGUAUUUCAAAGAGCAUUUUAUUUUUAUGUUUUGAUGGUAUGUUAUUUAGAGAAUGAAAAUUUAUGACUAUUAUGACUAUUAGAGUUUCAUUGUGGAUUGUAUCCUUUGUCCAAGAGUUUAAAAAAAAUUCACUAGGUUUAUGUUUUUACUUUGAAUUCUAUUUUUUAAAAUAAUAAUAGUGUGAAACUCUUUUCUUAUGAUUAUACAUGGCUGAUAUAUCUGUGCCUAACAUCUAAUUAUUUUUGCUUUUUCAUACUGCUUACUUUAAAAAUCUAUCUUGUAAAUACCAAAUAGAUGAAUUUAUCUCUAAAUCUAAUCUGAAAGUCUUUUUAAUAAGGUGAUUCAUUUAAAAGUUAUUUUUGGAAUUAAAAACUUCUUAUUUUAUCAUUUUAUGUUUUCUCUCACAUCUAUUUUCUACUUUAGUAGAAAAUAUAUGCUUUAUAUUCUAUUCUUUUAUCAUCUGAAAAGUACACAUUUUGUUUUUUAUUUAUAUUCAUGGUAAACAGUGAUCAUUUUAAAACAUACUUAAACAUAUAAUUAUUUAAUUAUCAAUAUCACAAAUGAUGUACUAUGUAUUGAGGUCACCCACAUGCUGGUUAUUUUCAUAUGUAUUUUUUUCUUCUCCCUUCUGGAAUAACAUUUUUCUUCUCCAUUUCUCUGAUUAUUUACUUAGCUCAUCCGGCAUUUAAAUUUUUUUUCUACCUCUUUGGCAGCUCCAGUUUCAUCUCCAAGUAACCCAGUUUCCUAUUUUCAUACAUAAUGUCAAUGUCUUACAGAAUAUUAUAAAUCAGAAACAACAACACAGAAUUAUAGAGUUCCUGUUGUGGCUCAGCAGUAAGGAAUCUGACUAGUAUCCAUGAAGAUUUGGGUUCAUUCCAUGGCCUUGCUCAGUUGGUUAAGCGUCCGGUGUUGCUCUGGCUGUGGUGUAGGCUGGCAGCUGCAGCUUUGAUUUACCCCUAGCUUGGGAAACUCCAUAUGCCGCAGGUGUAGCCCUAAAAAGAAAAAAAAAAAAAAAUCAGAAAUGCAAACCAGAAGUAGAUUUACAGAGGAGGAAUCUCUUAAAUACAUUGCCUGUUAUUCUUAAUAUUAAGUGUGGAAUAAUUCAUUUCACUGUCCCAACUCACUGCGGGGACAGCUUAGCGCUAUCUGAUAAGCUCCUUCUAAAGGUCAUCAGGUGAAAUCCCGGCUGAUGUUGAAUUAGAAAAGAAACACUCUUGGGUGAAUAUCAGCUGAGCUCUUAAACCAAACGUGUUAAGAUCAUAGUAAUCAGGGCCUUUAAGCUUGCUCUUCCUUCCUUCUGCAAUGCCCAUUCCCCAGGUAUUUGUAAGUUCACUCCCUCACUUAAUUCAUAUAUCCACGUAAAUGUCACCUCCUUAGAAAGAUAUAUAUUGAGUUUAAAGUGCAUUUGAAAUUCAAUUGGAUACAGUUAACACAUAAUUGGACUAUAAGGGUCUGAAGAUCAUGGAAGAGGUUAGGUGUAGAGAUAAAGACUUAGGUGUCAUCAUCUUUUAAGUGACAACUAAAAUCAUGUAAGAGGGUGAGAUCACAUAGUGAGACUUUGUAAAAAUGACAAAUGGGUUUGGAGAAAUCACUAUAAAAUAUCCUCAUUUAAAAGGACAGAUGGAGAUGAUAAGAAAUAAUAGAAGGAGUGUAGAAAAUAGGCCAAGGUGCUUAGAAGAAAAGGGUGUAUGACAUUAUGGGAAGAGUAAGGUUCAGGGAAGGAGUAGUCAACAGCAUAAAAUGCCAGAUAUACAGAAGCUUAAGAAUUAAAAGAUGUCCGUGAAAUUUAACAAAUGAAAAAUCAUUUGUGAUGUUGUUGAGAGCAAGUUUUAAUGGGAUGGUGGAGGUAGAACCCAGAUUGUAGUGGGAGAGAAUUGAUAAAAGGUGACUAAUUUAUGAAGGAUUUAUAAGAUAUUAAAAUAUCAUUGUAUACAAGCAAGAAGAAACAUCCAAAGGCAUCUUCAAUAAUAAAGACAAUUUAUUGUCUCAUAUAGCAGAAUAUCUGAAAUAGAGCAGUUCUCAAAAAAUAAAGACCCAAUCAUGCACCCAGGUUCUUUCCACAUUUGUUUUGCCCUCUUCACAUUGUUGGGUUUUAUUCUUAGAUUUUAACCCUUAUAGUUAUAAGAUGUUUUCAGUAGUGAUAAGCAUCAUAUUUUCAUACAUUUGGACAAUGUCCAAAGGUGAGAGAGGAGGAAGAGGACUUAUUUCUUUCUUGUAUUCUGUUUUUAAGAGUGAAGAAAACAUGUCCAAAACCUCCUAGCAUAUUUGACCCAUAGCUCAUUGAUGUUUACUGUGACACUAUAAAAUUUAUAAAUUAAUAAUUGGCAAAAGUAAAGGAAUAGUUUAAGAAAAAAUUAAAAUGUUACAUUUCUUCCAAACACAAGGUAUGGCUAAAAGAGGGCAAGGGAGGGCUUCUUUGUUCUGCAAUAUUCUGUUUCUUUCUUUUUUUCUUUUUCCUGGUCUUUUUAGGGCUGCACCCACGGCAUAUGGAAGUUCCCAGGUUAGGGGUCCAAUCCAAGCUGCAGCCACCGGCCUACACCACAACCACAGCAAUGCCAGAUCCAAGCCACAUCUGCAACCUACACCACAGCUCAUGGCAGCGCUGGAUCCUUAACCCACUGAGAGAGGCCAGGGAUCAACCCCUCAACCUCAUGGUUCCUAGUCAGAUUCGUUUCUGCUGCGCCAUGACAGGAACUCCCAAUAUUCUAUUUCUUGAUUUGAAUGGUAGUGAAUUCCCAUCAUGACUCAAUGGUUAACAAACUUGACUAGCAUCCAUGAGGACAUGGGUUCAAUCCCUGGCCUCGCUCUGGGGGUUAAGGAUCCAGGAUUGCCAUGAGCUAUGGUGUAGGUCACAGAUGUGGCUCGGAUCCCAUGUUGCUGUGGCUGUGGUGUAGGCCAGCGGCUAUAGCUCAGAUUGGACCUGUAGCCUGGGAACCUCCAUAUGCCAUGGUUACAGCCCUAGAAAGACAAAAAGACAAAAAAAUAUAUAUAUUAAAAUGGUUAUCAUCCCCUCUGUGUCUUGAUGCAGGGGGUAAGCAGUUAGACUUGUUGAAGCCAAUGGUCACUAGAACUAAAAUUUGGGUUGUUAUUAUUAGCAAGGAAGAAAGUGGAGAAUGGUUAUGAGGUAGCCAACCAGUUGUCUCUGUUAUUCAUCCAGGUAAAUAAUAGAAUUUGGUUAAAACAGCUUGUUAGACCUAACACAAAAAAAAUUUAAAAACUAAACUUUAAAAACAUUUUUCUUAUUUAGUAGCAAUACCUUUAUGUAAACAGUUGAAUUAGACCUCUAACAUUUUUACCAUAUGUAAAGGAAAUUAAGAUAAUUAGGCUACAAUAAGAAAGGUAUCAUUUAAUUCAUCAUAUCACUGAUUCUCUACCCUAUCAGACUCAACAACUCCUAUAACCAACAUUUUAUAAUGACCCUGAAAUAGAAUUUAUAAUCUAACAUACUUUUACACAUAACUUCAAAAAUGCAAUGUCCCAAUUAUAAUACAAAGGAAAAACAAAAGCAAACUAAUUUUUGAAAAUAUAAUAUGCAUUUAUAUAUAUAAAAGCUGAAGCAUGACUAACUAGGUCUAAUGAAGGAGUAAAACACUUGGCAUAUACUUAUAAUGAAUACAUUUGGUUUUAAGAGUAUUAGGAGGAACAGAAGCUAGUUUUUAUAAAAAGUGCAGGAAAAUGAUUAAGAAGAGGAUUAUGGAGAUGCUAAAUUAAAAGCUAGUUUUAGGAGAGGAAGUAACAGAAGACAGUUACUAAUACAUGAUAAAAGAAAGGGAGAAAUACCUUAAUUAAAGUAGUGAUAACUUGUCCCCCAAAAUUACAUACUAUGGAGGUGGAGAAAACUAGGACUAUGUUAUUCUUGUAAAUAGGCUGAACAUCGCAGAUGAAGCAUAACAAUGACAUGACCCUUGGUAGGCAUGAGGUAACAGCAAAACAAUAUCCCUUUUUAGAAAAUCCUAACACAUACCAAGGCACAUGUUCUCUCUUUAGUACUUAAAGAAAAUUUGGAGAUGUUGACUGGUAGAUGUCUGCAAUGUCAUAGUAAAAUUCAAGAAAAAAAGGAAGAAAUAAGUAAAUGAUUGUAAUAUUUAUUUUUCAUAUUAUAGAUUUUAUAUCCCUGUUUUAUGAAAAACAAAAAUAUGUAGAUGGACUUCCAAUAUCUGGCCCAGUGGAUAGGGAUUUUAGAAGACAUCAUUUCUGUCUUCACAACAAAGGAAUAACUGAACAAAAUGAAAAUCAAUAAAUUUCCUUAUAUCCAUCAGAGAAUUGAGAAUUGAGGUCAUGGGGCAAACUGGUGCCUUCCAAAUUGGAGAAAUAGAAGAGGAUACAGAGGAUCACAAUUUGCAGGACAGAAACCCAAGAUUAGAAACUGCUACAGGAAACAGUACCAUAGUACCAAUUUAGUGCACUAAACUUUACUUUAAAAACCUAGAAAAAUAAAAUUAGCAUCUUCGAGAAAUCUGAAAAAUAAAUCAAGAGUUCUUAAAGAGCAAUAGAACAGAUUUAAUCAGAAAAUAAGCCAAGUGUUUUUUUUUUUUCUCUUGCAUUACUAACUCUGAUUUUUAAAAAGCAUUUCAAAGUGGUACUUCCCGUUACAGUCUACAGAGAGACUACAAAUCUUUUCCACAAAAAGCAGCUACAGAGCUGGAAAAAAUUGACAGAAUAACAUCAUUUCAAUGUUCUGUAAAUCUACCCAUGGUUUAGAAUUUUGGAAGCAUGUAUUAUGGAAAAACUGACGAAAUUUGAGUAAGAAUAGUGGGAAUUUGUGGUGUUCUUGCCCACAUCUGUGUUCAGUUGAGGCAGGGGUUCUGCCAGGAUAAGGAAGGCCAUAAGGACCAGCAUUUUCUUUUCUGUGAUAGAGGGAUGGGGCUAAUAUUUUCAGAGGCAGAUGAACAGGCCAGGACCAAUGUCUCUACUAUCCUUAGGUUACUGCUGUGUGUGGGGCAAGUCUAUUCCUGGCUGAGGAUGAAUGUAUGAGAAGUGGAGAUCAGACUUCUCUGAUAAUUUCACAUAAUCCUGGCCAACUUUGAGGCUGCACAGAGGAGACCCAAAAGAGCCAGUGAAAUCUAAGAGACUGGGCAGGAUUAGAAAUGAUCUGAAUGUGAAUGUCCUCACCUACCUGUACACAGAUUCAUUGGCAGAAGAUGGGCUUUUGCUGCUUCAAGGUUGUCAUUAUAACCUCUGUAGAAUCAUUAUCUAACCAUUAAGCUAUUCAGUCACAGAAGGUCCCCUAGGAAGUCAGAAUUUAAAUAAAACCAAGAAUAUAAGUAAAUAAAUAAUUUGUUUAAAAAAUUGAGCUGAACAAUUGUAUCCAUAAAUGGCAGGGAAUGCAGAAUUCACAGAUUUAGCCUAGGUAAGUUAAUGAACAAGUAAAGAGCAAUAUAAACUUUUAGUGCGAGAAUCAAGAUCCAGAUUUUUUAUACUAUAUUAUCUAUAUCAAUUAGAUGAAAAGGAAAAAGUCCUAAAAAGAUAUCAAUUACCAAUACUAAUUCAAGAAGAAAAAAUGAACAGAUGAAUAACAAGUAAAGAAAUUAAAGAAAUUAAAUUAGUGAUUAAAAAUUUUCCCCCAGGGAGUUCACGUUGUAGCUCAGUGGUAACGAACCUGACUAGUAACCAUGAGGAUGCAGGUUCAAUCCCUGGCCUUGCUCAGUGGGUUAAGGAUCUGGUGUUGCCGUGAGCUGUGGUGUAGGUCGCAGAUGUGGUUCCAAUCUCACAUUGCUGUGGCUGUGGUGUAGGCUGGCAGCUACAGUUCCGAUUAGACCCCUAGCCUGAGAAAUUCCAUAUGC